UAUGAGGGUUUCGGACACCGUAGAAGUGUCGGUGUUUGCACAGGGUUUCUUCUUAACAUUGUUCAUGGAAAAUCAAGAAAGUUACAGAUGUAAACGGAAUGGGAAACAUAUUGGGAAAAACUGCAAUUUAAAAGCAAAUGGAAUCAAAGAGUUAAUCUCAAUAAUUGCCAAUAGUGACCUUAGGUGUCUGUAUGAUUCCAAGCAGCAAGAAGAAGUUACAAAAAGGGCUGAAAUUUCUUGGCUUUUGCAUUGAAUCCUGAGUGAGAAUGAGAUUUCUUGCAUUGGGUUCGCACUCUAGAUUUUGAUUUCUCCGACUGGUGGAUUGGAAGUUUUUAAUUUCUUGAGUGGGUUUUGAAAAAAAAAA
rnacentral:lncRNA from 1 species